rfam:Otolemur garnettii contig010327, whole genome shotgun sequence.
GUUUAUGGUCAUAGCACCCUGAACAUGCCAGAUCUUGUCUUGAUCUCAGAUGCUAAGCAGAGUCGGGCCUGGUUAGUACUUGGAUGGUGGAGAUCAGGGCACAUGCUUU